AGCAGCCGCGGUAAUUCCAGCUCCAAUAGCGUAUAUUAAAGUUGUUGCAGUUAAAAAGCUCGUAGUUGAACCUCGGGGUCUACCCAUUGGUCAGGCUUAAUUGUCUGCACUGGUGAGAUGGAUCUCUACCUUCUGAGGAACUUUCAUGCCAUUUAUUUGGUGUGAUGGGAAAUCAGGACUGUUACUUUGAAAAAAUUAGAGUGUUUAAAGCAGACUAUCGUCUGAAUACAUUAGCAUGGAAUAAUGAAAUAGGACGGACUGAUUCUAUUUCGUUGGUUCUAGGAUCACCGUAAUGAUUAAUAGGGAUAGUUGGGGGCAUUAGUAUUCAAUUGUCAGAGGUGAAAUUCUUGGAUUUAUUGAAGACGUUAACUACUGUCGAAAGCAUUUGCCAAGGAUGUUUUCAUUAAUCGAAGAACGAAAGUUAGGGGAUCGAAGACGAUCAGAUACCGUCGU
rnacentral:rRNA from 1 species